UGAAAUUGAGCGAUUCAUAUUGUACGUCAAAUAUAUUGCGUAGUUAUCUUCUAUCUCGUAGAGAUAGAAAGUAUAAAAAUUUCCAAUCCAGGGAAACGAUUAAGAUGAUAUAUCUGACGUACGGAAUGUCUACAAAUCGUCGUAGAAAGUGGACUGCACGCGACGCGGUUAGAAAUCUCUUUGGAAUUUCUCCAUCGCUGUCUCGGGCGCAAAAACGGAUCACUCUCUAAAAACUUCUCUUCUCGAUGAGAACAGUUUCCUCGGGAUAUUAAAUUUAUCUCGUGAACGAAACGAAAUCUUACUUCUGAGAAAGAAAUAAAGAUUGUCUAUAAGUCUGUCAUAGUAUAGAUCGCUCGAUUAUAGAUUACAACAUUCUGAUAUUUUUAAGUUUUUUAUUUAAAUAUUUAACACAAUUGGAUAAAUUAUCUAUUUAUAAAAAGAAUAACAUUUAUUAUCGACGGAUGGUAAUAAGAAGAUUUCGAUAGAAUAAUAGAAUAAUAUAAAUUACUAAAUAACAAAAAAUAACUAGCAAUGGAACUAGAUAAAAUAAUUUUAAUCGUAAAUGAUAAGAAUAAUUAGGCAAAAUAUCUAGAAAUGAAUACAGACGACAAUAAGAAUUUUAAUCGCGAUAUUAAAAAUAUCAAGAAUAAAUAGGCAAAAAUAACUAUAUAUAAUAAAACUAGAACAAGUCGUUAUAAUAUCAAACGUCUCAGUACCCGUCCAUCCAAGUAAUAUCUCGAAUGUUUCAUUUCUCUCGGAACGAUAAUAAAGAGUAGUAGUAAUCUCGCGGAGGAGGCUCGUGAUACUCGACUUCAUUCAUCGAUUCCAACGUAUAUACGUACACAAUUUUCCCUUUCCUAUACUAUUCGUUGCCUCCUUGUGGCACGAAUUCGGCACACACGAAGACACACAAACCUCGCCAGACAUCCGAACAAUUUCCUUUUCUUCUUCGAGCGUGGCGCCGCCUUUGUGAUCCUGCAGAACGUUAUGACACCAUUGCCACAUUUCGAAGAUUUCUCAGUAAUUUGCAUUUCAAUCUCCAAGAUAAUGCACAUGGGACUUCGAUUCAAAACAUCUUUAAUAUUUUCCAGUUAAAGGCUGAAAAACUAUUAAUCAGAACGAAACUCGAAAAUAUUUCAUAUUAAACAAUUUCAUAUUAUUGUAACACGACGAUACUUGCUACAAAAGCUUACAAUUCUUUCAUUAUGAGAAAUAGUAAACGUGUAAGAAGAACAGUGAAAUCGAAGAUCUAAGUGAGACAAAGCCGCAUAUUUUUUCAUGCUUAACCAAAUUAAUACGACUUCCUCGAGUAUUCAUCAAACAUCUCGCACCAAUUGAAAUUUUCUCAGACAGUGUUCGAAUACAUUUCCACGAGAAGAAGAUAUUUCCAAGCCUUCGUUUUCAUCUAAAGAAUUAAAGACGAUGUUUCCAACGUGUCGGAAGAGUAUCUUUCACGCAACGUUCCUCUCUCUCUUCUUCUGCAUAUUGGUGCAUUAGAGCGUGCAUGCACGAUGAUAUUAAGAUGGUAGCGUAAUUAACGAAAUAUUGUUCUCUCUGGUUCGAAACAGAGAUAUCUCGAUAUUUCGAUAUUUUAAUUUUCCAGGUGACCAUUUUUGUGCUUUGAAUUCACUCUCGGUGGCGACAAAUGACAAAAUUUCAUUGUUUCUGAAAUAAAUUCAACGAUACGUGUUUUUAAGAAGAAUCAUAUGAUUGCAAAGAGAAAAAUUACAAAAAUUAAUAUUUUUAUUAGAUUCGAAUUCGGUGUACCUUUAUCUUUAAGAAACCUUUCCAUUCUCUGUGCAGUCAUUUUUUCAUUCAAAAUAUUCAAAUACUUUUUAAAAUUAAUAUUAACUUCAAGCAUAAUUACUUUUACAAUAUCCUAACUUUCAUCUUAAUUGUGUAUAACAUUUUUGAAUAAAUUUCAUAAAUUGAUAGUUCUAGUUGCAUACAAUUAUGAAUUAAUUUCAUAAAACAUGGAAAGUAUUAUUUUGUUGCACACUGUACAAUCUUUGAUUUCUUAUUUAUAGUUCAAUCACGUGUACAAUUUUUCAAAUAUUCUUCUCCAUGUGGAUAUAAAUAUCUGAUUUUCUUUUUCUCUUUCUUUUCAUUUUUUCGUUUUUUGCAGCUUUUCUAUAAAAGCAUCCAAUAUCACAAGCAGUUCUUUAUAAUUAAAGCAGUCCUUUAUAAUUUUUCAGUAAUAUCCAGGGAAAAUUCAGGGACGGUGGAAACGUUUGUUUGCUGUUUAAUCCUUUGGAAUAGGAAUAAUUCAAGCUGAAGCACUCUCGAGGAAAAAAGAGCUGUGAAUUUGGAAAAAAUGUAACGUGACACACGUUAGAGGAGUAUUAUCUUCAGGUAUAUCAUAAUAACGUGCAAUUUGUAAAAUAAAUUAACGAAUUCUCUUUUAAAUAUUUGUAAUUAUUUAUUUAUAGCGAAAGAGUGAAAUUUAAAAAUCUCUAGUAGUUCGAUUCAUUAAUUAUUAUUGAAAAUUCUUGGUCGAUUGUCGAAGAGAAAAAAUUCUAGAAUUUUGAUUUAAUCAUUUGAUUCGGCUGGCUUAACCGACUUAAAGGUAAACGAUAACGAAAAUUAGACAAGUUUGGAUGAUAAAGAUUUAUCUCCUGAUCGACUUAUCCCAAUCUAAUUACGAUAACGAAAAUUACAUAAGUUUGGACUAGGACUAUGGAUUGCUCCAGAUUCAUAUCCAAAAUUUUAACACAAACUUUCCAUAGAAAAACUUCAAAACGCAAUUUCCAAAUUUAAUUUUAAAAAAAAAUUCACUCUCACUUCCCUUACAUUCUGCUCGAAUUAAAAUCUCGAAGAUUUCUAAUCGUUUUCCAUUCCAGAUUGAACGAUCGAAUCUCUCGGCCUCUCGAAUUCUUUUAUUCAAAAAUGCUUUUCGCCAAAGUAAGAACGGAGAGGAAGGAUUACCGAAUAAGGAUAAAAAUCGAGAAGAGGAUAGAUUUCCACGUCGACGACGAGUGCAAGAGCGUCAGUGAGAGUUUGACCACUUGGGAAUCGAAUCCUCGCGCGACCUCGACUUUCCCUUACCCCCCAUUUGACACGUUAAAGAGCCGAGGGAAUGUUGGAUUUAUCGUCGUUUUUUUCUAACCCCUUGGAUAACAAAAAUCCAAGUGGGUAUAAAAUAAAAUGAAACAAUUUGACACAUCAAUCUCACGCUUAAAUUAAUGUAAUUGUAUUAAAUUUCGAAAGAGGAUGGAUAUUUUGGAAAAUUUAUGAAAUAAGGAUUUCAAGAAUGCAUACUAAUCAACAUACUAAGAAACAAUGGACAGAGAAUUUGGGAUUUUGUGGACAUGAAUGGACAAGCUGAUGAACUCUCGAGCUUGCACGAGGAUGAUCUGCGAUAAUUAUGCGAGUGUCUUGGCACACUCUUGAUCUUGAGGAUACAGAAAAUCAAUCUCAACAAUUCUAGAACAUUAUAUACAUAUGUAUAUAUAUAUAUAUUGAAAAAUUUAUUUUUAAAAUUUCUUGAGAAAUAUUUGAUAAUUGGUUAUCGAUCUUACGUGGAAGAUAAGAAAUGGUGUUUGCCGAACAAUGGACAGAAACGUGGGACACGUAUCAAGUUUGGAAACGGGUUAAUUGGUCGGAGGAACGAAUCGACCGACAUCGACCAGAUUUUAUCGGUUUAUUCCUCGAGAAUCGUGGAUCCAGAAUCCUGUGAACCGGAUAAAAAGUAUCUUCCACGAUAUCGACGCUCUCUCUCACGAUGGCAGGAGUUGGAUUUAAUUGGCUUGGCCGGCCAGAUGACCUGUAAUAAAUCGUAGAAAAUAACAGUCGAA
rnacentral:lncRNA from 1 species